rnacentral:rRNA from 1 species
UACAGAGGGUGCGAGCGUUAAUCGGAAUUACUGGGCGUAAAGCGCGCGUAGACGGUUUUGUAAGUCAGAUGUGAAAUCCCUGGGCUCAACCUGGGAACUGCAUUUGAAACUGCAUGGCUAGAGUAUGGAAGAGGCAGGUGGAAUUCCGGGUGUAGCGGUGGAAUGCGUAGAGAUCCGGAAGAACACCGGUGGCGAAGGCGGCCUGCUGGGCAGUAGCUGACGCUGAUGCGCGACAGCGUGGGGAGCAAACAGG